rnacentral:rRNA from 1 species
CCUACGGGAGGCAGCAGUGGGGAAUAUUGGGCAAUGGAGGAAACUCUGACCCAGCCACGUCGCGUGAAGGAUGACUGUCCUCUGGUUGGAAACUUCUGUUUCUAGGGAUGUAGAACGACGCUACCUUGCCUUACUGCCUCGGCAAUCUACGUGCCAGCAGGCGCGGUAAUACGUAGGGGGCGAGCGUUGACCGGAAUGACUGGGGGUAAAGGGAGUGUAGGCGGUAUAUUAAGUUAUGUGUGAAAGCCCGCGGCUCAACCGUGAAAUUGCAAAUAAAACUGGUAGUCUGGAGUGCAGUUGAGGUAGGUGGAAUUCGCGGUGUAGCGGUGGAAUGCGUAGAUAUCGCGAAGAACACC